AGAGCAGGUCGGGUGAUCGCGGUUGGCAGCAAUCGAGGAAAGUCCGGGCUCCACAGGACAGGAUGCCGGGUAACACCCGGCGGGGGCGACCCCAGGGAGAGUGCCACAGAAAACAAACCGCCAGCCGGAUCCGCGACACUCAUCUGUCAAGAAUUGCUGGUAAGGGCGAAACGGCGUGGUAAAAGCACACCGCGCGUGCGGUAACGCAUGCGGCAGGGAAAACCCCAUCCGGAGCAAGACCAAAUAGGGGGGCGUUCAAGACGGUCCGUCCAGUCCCCGGGUCGGUCGCACGAACGGUCUGGCAACAGGCCGUGCAGAUGAAUGAUCACCUCCCCGGUGGUUGCCGCACACCGGGAGACAGAACCCGGCUUACAGACCGGCUCUGGUC
rnacentral:RNase_P_RNA from 1 species